rnacentral:rRNA from 1 species
CCAAGUCCCCUGGAAAGGGGCGCCGGGGAGGGUGAGAGCCCUGUAUGGCCCGCACCCUGCUGCAACGCGAGGCGCUAUCACCGAGUCGGGUUGUUUGGGAAUGCAGCCCAAAUUGGGUGGGGGUCGGCGAUGCGCCUCAGCCUGAUGCGGAACAGCGGCGCGCUGGUCCGCCGCUCAGCUUGAGGCGUUGGCCGUUGCCAACCGUGGCAUCAGUCGGAGCCCAAGCUUUUGAUGUCAAGGGCAUACCGCCGACGCGGUUGGGUGUAUCGGAGUUUGUGCUCUCUAGUGAUCCUCUCGGGGCUCCGUCAUGCUCUCCCUACCGGCCCGCGGGCUCCCCAUCCGACCCAUCUUGAAACACGGACCAAGGAGUCUGACAUGCGUGCAAGCCGACAGCUGCAAAUGCCCGGAAGGCGCAAGGAAGCUGAUGCGUGGGAUCCCUAUUCGGGGAGCACCACGGACCAACCCCAAUCUUAUGUGAAGGGUUCGAGUGGGAGCAUGUCUGUCGGGACCGAAAGAUGGUGAACUAUGCCUGAGCGGGGUGAAGCCAAAGGAAACUCUGGUGGAGGCCAGCAGCGAUACUGACGUGCAAAUUGUUCGUCUGACUUGGGUAUAGGGGCGAAAGACUAAUCGAAUCAUCUAGUAGUUGGUUCCCUCCGAAGUUUCCCUCGGGAUAGCUGGAGCCCAUUCGGAGUUCUAUCGGGUAAAGCCAAUGAUUAGAGGCAUCGAGGGCACAACGCCCUCGACCUAUUCUCAAACUUUAAAUAGGUAGGAUGGGGUGGCUGCUUCGAUGAGCCACUCCGUGGAAUCGGGAGCUUUAAGUGGGCCAUUUUUGGUAAGCAGAACUGGUGAUGCGGGAUGAACCGGAGCUGGGUUAUGGUACCCAACUGUGCGCUAACCCAGAACCCACAAAGGGUGUUGGUCGAUUAAGACAGCAAGACGGUGGUCAUGGAAGUUGAAAUCCGCUAAGGAGUGUGUAACAACUCACCUGCCGAAUCAACUAGCCCCGAAAAUGGAUGGCGCUUAAGCGCGCAACCCAUACCCAGCCGUCGGGGCUAUCGUCAUAUCCCGAUGAGUAGGAGGGUGCGGCAGCUGCCGCAAAACCCGGGAGCGAGCUCACGCGGAGCGGUCGCCGGUGCGGAUCUUGGUAGUAGUAGCAAAUAUUCAAAUGAGAACUUUGAAGGCCAAAGGGGGGAAAGGUUCCAUGUGAAUGGCACUUGCACAUGGGUUAGCCGAUCCUGAGAGACGGGGGAGACCCGUCCGAGAGCCCCGCAUGGUGCGAGCUUUGAAAGGGAAUCAAGUUAAAAUUCCUGAGCCUGGAUGUGGCAGCAGACGGCAACGCGAGGCGGUCUGGAGACACCGACAAGGGCCUCGGGGAGAGUUAUCUUUUCUACUUAACAGCCUACGCCCUGGAAAUGGCUCAACCAGAGGUAGGGUCCAGCAGUUGGAAGAGCAUCGCAUGUCGAGCGGCGUCCAGUGCGCCCCCGGCAGCCCGUGAAAAUCUGGAUGGCCGAGUGCCGCCCACACCUAGUCGUACUCAUAACCGCAUCAGGUCUCCAAUGUGAACAGCCUCUGGUCGAUGGAGCAAUGUUGGCAAGGGAAGUCGGCAAAAUGGAUCCGUAACUUUGGGAAAAGGAUUGGCUCUGAGGGUUGGGCACGGGGGUCCCAGUUUCGAACCCAUCGACUGUCGAUGAACUGCUUGAGCUGCUGUCGUGGCGAGAGCAGGUCACCGUGUGCCGGCUGGGGGAUGGGCUCGGAACGUUCCCCUCGGGGGACUUCCCCGAGCGUCAAACAACUGACUCAGAACUAGUACGGACAAGGGGAAUCUGACUGUUUAAUUAAAACAAAGCAUUAUGAUGGUUCCAGCAGAUGCUCACGCAAUGUGAUUUCUGCCUAGUGCUCUAAAUGUCAAAGUGAUGAAAUUCAACCAAGCGCAGGUAAACAGCGGGAGUAACUAUGACUCUCUUAAGGUAGCCAAAUGCGUCGUCAUCUAAUUAGUGACGCGCAUAAAUGGAUUCAAGAGAUUCCCACUGUCCCUGUCUACUAUCCAGCGAAAACACAGCCAAGGGAACGGGCUUUGCAGAAUCAGCGGGAUUUGAGCUUCAAUCUUCAAACUUAGUUUUACAGCAUUUGGCGUUCAAGCUUUGGGCUUAAGCCUUCAAACUUUUGACUUCAGGAUUAAAGCUUAGUCUUUUGGUCAUUGGGUUUUGAUCUUUGGCUUGGGCUUUCAAGCUGUAGGCCUUUAGGAUUUAGGCUUUAGUAGUGGGCCUUUAGGAUUUAGGCUUUAGUAGUGGGCCUUUAGGCUUUAAGCUUUAGCUGUGGGCCUUUAGCCUUUAGACUUUGUGCUUCAUGCCAUAAGUUCUAGAUUUGGGUUUUGGGUUUUGGGUUUUGGGUUUUGGGUUUUGGGUUUUGGGCUUUUGGCUUUAGGGCUAGUCCUUCAAUGUUUAGGUUUCAAGUUUCAAACUUUGAGCUUGGGCCUUUUGGCUUUAGAAUUUAAGCUCUAGGCUUUGGGGUUUAGGCUUUAGCCUUCAAACUUUGGCUUUGAGUUCUAAGCUUUGGUCUUGCAAUUUUAGUCUUUGGGCUAUAGGAUUCAUGCAUCAGGCUUAGGCUUUGGACGUCGGGCUUUGGACUUUGGGCUUCAAGCUUCUGGCUUUGGCAUUUGUCCGUCGGGCUUUAGCCUUCUG